rnacentral:sRNA from 1 species
GACACCAGGGAGUUUCGAUUGGAUGUCCUUAAACAUGUUCUCAACACGAAUCAUAGGAGGAGCACGGCGGAAUUGAUUACCCUCCUCAAACACUUGAAAGGGAGAAGCAAUUU